rnacentral:lncRNA from 1 species
GGUCUUGUUUAAGGAUCAAUAUAUGUAGAAUCUAUAUAACACUGGAGCUUUUAAAUUUUCAUCAGAAAUGUUUUCUUUCUUAGUGAAACUUAUUGGUGGAGGAAAUAAACUGAUACUACUCCACAUUGAGAAGCCAUUGCCCAAGUGACAAUUCUACCUUGCCAAAGGCCCUGCUUUUCCUUUCUGGUUUUUGAAAGGUGGAGGAAAAGGCAAGAUUGCCUUGGGUUAGCUUGCCCAGUUUCCCUGAGAUCUGGACAGCCCAUUGUCUGCAAGCAAUUCUUCUUUCUUAAUGAUAGUUUCUAGGGACUCUGAUGAAAAUUUGAAUCAAGUGUAGGUGACCUUUACUUUUUUUUUUUAUCCACUACAGAAGCCAUUGCCUUGGCAAUGGAUCCAUCUGUUCCUCUGGGGAAAGGAUAUCCUGGGCAUAAUUCCCAACUCCAGUGACAGUGCCAUCGGGACUGGCGCUGCUCAGAAGCAAGGUCAGGGCAUCCUCUUACCUGUGGCCACCAACACCCCCAGCAUCAUCCUGUUCAUCUCUACGGUCACAAAUAAUAAGAUCCUGGAAUGCAGUGAGACCCCAGCAUCGAAGCAAUGCUGCCACAUCCCACCUUCACUGCGAGGAAUGGGUGAGAAGUACAGAUGACAGCACCUUAUCCAAACAACUAUUCUAUGGUGAGCUGAAAUGGGGAAAUCAUGAUGGGUUGGCCCGAAGAACUGCAGUUAAGAUGCAGUUAAACCUCAAAAGAUGUGGUAGAGUGGUGAAAAGCUGGGAGACAGUGGUGAACAGCACUGGGUGGUGAACAGCAGGAACAGUUCAGCAUGACCUGCAGCAAUCAGAAAUGGGAUGACUGCUUUGGAACAGAGCCUCUGGGAAGAUCACAACCCAGAGGGUGAGCAAUGAAAAUGGUGUAGGGCCUUGUAGUUAACAGACACAAUAAUUCAGCAAGGGGCCAUCUUUCUAGCCACAAGACUUGGAAUGGAUUAUCAACUGUGCAUUGAGAGACAGGUGCAUAGCUAUAAUG